CCUACGGGAGGCAACAGUGGGGAAUAUUGCACAAUGGGGGAAACCCUGAUGCAGCGACGCCGCGUGAGUGAAUAAGUAUCUCGGUACGUAAAGCCCUAUUAGCAGGGAAGAUAAUGACGGUACUUGACCAAGAAGCCCCGGCUAACUACGUGCCAGCAGCCGCGGUAAGAAGGAGGGGGCAAGCGUUACCCGGAUUUACGGGGUGUAAAGGGAGCGUAGACGGCGGCGCAAGUCUGGAGUGAAAUCGCGGGGCUUAACCCCGGCACUGCUUUGGAAACUGUGCGGCUGGAGUGCAGGAGGGGGAAGCGGAAUUCCUGGUGUAGCGGUGAAAUGCGUAGAUAUUAGGAGGAACACCGGUGGCGAAGGCGGCUUACUGGACUGUAACUGACGUUGAGGCUCGAAGGCGUGGGGAGCGAAAGGGAUUAGAUACCCUAGUAGUC
rnacentral:rRNA from 1 species